rnacentral:lncRNA from 1 species
AGGCGCGUGCAGAGGCUGCCUCGGGAACUUCCAUCUUUAGGCUUGAAACGCUCAUAGGUACCCAAUUGUACCAUCAUGUAUAUAUUGCAUCAUGUAUUAUUGCAGCUAAUCUUUCCAAACUUGAUACGAUUUCAGGUUUUCGAAGUUUCCAUAUAGGCCGACAAACAAGUGACCCUAAACCUUGUUUGGUACGGUUUGGGCUGGAACCUCGAGCAACUCCAAAGCAUAUUGUGAACUUAAAUCUCUAAACUUUCCUAAAAAACAAACUUAAGGGUCUGUUUCGUUUAGCUAUGAGCCGUGAGAUAUGAAAGCACAUGCCAUGAAGGUUUGUUGUAUGCGAAGGAACGGGGUGUGCCGAAGCUGAAGAUGGAAACGGAUUGUCAGGUUCUGGUCCGGUUAUGGUCAGAACGUGCAAGCCAAAAAUCCGAGAUUGUCUCCUUACUACAUCAAAUGGAAGAUCUUAGCCAGAGCUUCUAAUAAGCUUUUGAUUUAAUAUUUAUUCAUAGAGAUUGUAAUAGAUUAGCUCAUGAAUGUGCUCGACUAGUAUCUAAUGGACACCAGGUGGUGGAGUGGCUUAU